AACAGGAUUAGAUACCCUGGUAGUCCACGCUGUAAACGAUGUCGAUUUGGAGGUUGUGCCCUUGAGGCGUGGCUUCCGGAGCUAACGCGUUAAAUCGACCGCCUGGGGAGUACGGCCGCAAGGUUAAAACUCAAAUGAAUUGACGGGGGACCGCACAAGCGGUGGAGCAUGUGGUUUAAUUCGAUGCAACGCGAAGAACCUUACCUACUCUUGACAUCCAGAGAACUUAGCAGAGAUGCUUUGGUGCCUUCGGGAACUCUGAGACAGGUGCUGCAUGGCUGUCGUCAGCUCGUGUUGUGAAAUGUUGGGUUAAGUCCCGCAACGAGCGCAACCCUUAUCCUUUGUUGCCAGCGAUUCGGUCGGGAACUCAAAGGAGACUGCCGGUGAUAAACCGGAGGAAGGUGGGGAUGACGUCAAGUCAUCAUGGCCCUUACGAGUAGGGCUACACACGUGCUACAAUGGCGUAUACAAAGAGAAGCGACCUCGCGAGAGCAAGCGGACCUCAUAAAGUACGUCGUAGUCCGGAUUGGAGUCUGCAACUCGACUCCAUGAAGUCGGAAUCGCUAGUAAUCGUAGAUCAGAAUGCUACGGUGAAUACGUUCCCGGGCCUUGUACACACCGCCCGUCACCAUGGGAGUGGGUUGCAAAAGAAGUAGGUAGCUUAACCUUCGGGAGGGCGCUUACCACUUUGUGAUUCAUGACUGGGGUGAAGUCGUAACAAGGUAACC
rnacentral:rRNA from 1 species